AUACGGAGGGUGCGAGCGUUAAUCGGAAUUACUGGGCGUAAAGCGCGUGUAGGCGGCUUGGUAAGUCGGAUGUGAAAGCCCGGGGCUCAACCCCGGAAUUGCAUACGAAACUGCCUCGCUAGAGUCUCGGAGAGGAGGGCGGAAUUCCCGGUGUAGAGGUGUAAUUCGUAGAUAUCGGGAGGAACACCAGUGGCGAAGGCGGCCCUCUGGACGAUGACUGACGCUGAGACGCGAAAGCGUGGGGAGCAAACAGGAUUAGAUACCCCGGUAGUCC
rnacentral:rRNA from 1 species